rnacentral:rRNA from 1 species
UACGUAGGGGGCAAGCGUUGUCCGGAAUCAUUGGGCGUAAAGAGCGUGUAGGCGGCUCGGUAAGUCCGCUGUGAAAGCCCUGGGCUCAACCUGGGAAUGGCAGUGGAUACUGGAAAGCUAGAGUGCGGUAGAGGGUAGUGGAAUUCCCGGUGUAGCAGUGAAAUGCGUAGAGAUCGGGAGGAACACCAGUGGCGAAGGCGGCUACCUGGACCAGCACUGACACUGAGGCACGAAAGCGUGGGGAGCAAACAGG